rnacentral:rRNA from 1 species
CAGUAGCCACGGUAAUACGUAGGUGGCAAGCGUUGUCCGGAAUUAUUGGGCGUAAAGGGCUCGCAGGCGGUUUCUUAAGUCUGAUGUGAAAGCCCCCGGCUCAACCGGGGAGGGUCAUUGGAAACUGGGAAACUUGAGUGCAGAAGAGGAGAGUGGAAUUCCACGUGUAGCGGUGAAAUGCGUAGGGAUGUGGAGGAACACCAGUGGCGAAGGCGACUCUCUGGUCUGUAACUGACGCUGAGGAGCGAAAGCGUGGGGAGCGAACAGGAUUAGAUACCCCUGUAGUCCCUGUCUCUUAUAC